GAAACCCCAGGUUGGGAUGAAAUAUUUCUACAACAGACCACAAAUAACAAACAUACUAAAUAGAUGUGUUUGAAUAAAAGGAACCGUAAGUGAGUACUACCUGACAACCUGAGUAUUCCAUGAGAGAAAGGCAAAGGAGAGUCAGGUCAAAAUCAGGCAAUGUUAACAGGUGACACUACCACUUAAAUCCCAGGAUCACAACAAACCUGGCCAUGAAGGUAACAACAAAGUCUCAGAUCUUUGCAACAAGGUUCUGAUUUGAUAACAGAAUAGCAACAAGCAGAAUAAACUGUGCAUUCACGAUGCUCACCGGUGGGAUACCCAGGGUGUAUAGAGCCCAGCCAGGCUGAGAAGAGCUCUGGAAAACAAGCCUCUGCUAGACUUCCUCCUGUCCUCCCCCUUACUGCUGUAUUGCAAAGCAAGAAGUAUACAGGGAAAGGAGACCAGGCAUCACAGCGGUUCUUUGUUUUGUUUUGCUGUUGCUAGGAAUGAAGGCACUUAGCGUGAAGUGGUAUGGCAAUGGCAGCUUGGACGCUGGGGUAGCAAAUUCUCAGAGACCGAGUUAGAUGGUUUUAGCCCCUGCAAAAAGCUUGUCCGGAGGGGAAGGAUUUAUUUUGGCGAGAGGUCUCACGGGAACUCUAGUUAUUUGGUUCCACGUACUUCAUUAUCAUGGUGAAGAAGACGAAUGUCAGAAGCUGUUUCACAGCAUGGUGGACCUGAAGCACAGAGAAUAGACAGGAAGGAGCAAGGAUACGGAGCUGUAGGGGAUGUUCCUGGAGGCUUGCUUCUUCCAGGUGACGGGGAGAUUACACUUUGGUGCAAUCUUUGAAGUCGGAGUGUGAAGAGACUGUGUCUGCUUUGCAUCAUCUCUGUCACACAGCUUCCAUGGCUGUGUUAAGUAGGAGCCAUGCUGUGGGCUGAGCUCACACAGCUUCCAGUUCCGAUGAUGGCGUCCGCUCAGCAUCUUUGCAGUAAUAUUUACAGCGAAUGGUCAGCAAAUGGUUUCUACUGUUUGGUAUUUCUACAAUCACCUUGAAGAUACCUUGAGUUUCCUUACUACCUGCGUCUUUAAGCCCAGGAGUCAUUUCUCCUGACUGGCAAUAUAACCCCACCUAUCUUCAGUUAGUGAUCACAAAUUCAGACUGUU